UAGGGAAUCUUCCACAAUGGACGCAAGUCUGAUGGAGCAACGCCGCGUGAGUGAAGAAGGCUUUCGGGUCGUAAAACUCUGUUAUUGAAGAAGAACGUGUGUGACAGUAACUGGUCAUGCAGUGACGGUAUUCAAUCAGAAAGUCACGGCUAACUACGUGCCAGCAGCCGCGGUAAUACGUAGGUGGCAAGCGUUGUCCGGAUUUAUUGGGCGUAAAGCGAGUGCAGGCGGUCUUUUAAGUCUGAUGUGAAAGCCUUCGGCUUAACCGAAGAAGGGCAUCGGAAACUGGGAGACUUGAGUGCAGAAGAGGAGAGUGGAACUCCAUGUGUAGCGGUGAAAUGCGUAGAUAUAUGGAAGAACACCAGUGGCGAAGGCGGCUCUCUGGUCUGUAACUGACGCUGAGGCUCGAAAGCGUGGGUAGCAAACAGGAUUAGAUACCCUG
rnacentral:rRNA from 1 species